rnacentral:rRNA from 1 species
UAACGAAUAUUCCGCAAUGCGCGAAAGCCUGACGGAGCAACGCCGCGUGAGGGAUGAAGGCCUCUGGGCUGUAAACCUCUUUUCUCAAGGAAGAAGAUCUGACGGUACUUGAGGAAUAAGCCACGGCUAAUUCCGUGCCAGCAGCCGCGGUAAUACGGGAGUGGCAAGCGUUAUCCGGAAUUAUUGGGCGUAAAGCGUCCGUAGGCGGCUUUUCAAGUCUGCUGUUAAAACGUGGAGCUUAACUCCAUCAAGGCAGUGGAAACUGAUUGGCUUGAGUGUGGUAGGGGCAGAGGGAAUUCCCGGUGUAGCGGUGAAAUGCGUAGAUAUCGGGAAGAACACCAGUGGCGAAGGCGCUCUGCUGGGCCAUAACUGACGCUCAUGGACGAAAGCCAGGGGAGCGGAAGGG